UGGUACCACGUGUUACUGCCAGCUGGUUCGAUAGUUGGACUCUAUUACGGAGCUACAAGGUUCCUCAUUCUCAAGGAUUACCACCGCUUCGGAAAGAGUUUCCCGGAUAAUGACAGAUCGGAGAUGGGAUGGGUAACCAGAGGCAGAGAUUUCAGGAUUACCGGCAGGCCCCUCGGUCAAAAGCUGUACGACUACGAACAUUAGUAUUGUGUUAAGGAGACACCAGCAGCCAUCGGAGAUAUGUACACAGUGAUAGCCCAGCCCUUCACCCCCGCUACGUGAAUUUUAAAUCUGCUAUAAUGAUAAUUAUGGAUCAUCAUUCAUUAUGCGUUGAAUAAAUUUGCAGAGAUUUAAUUUAAGCUUUUUUACGUUGUCCUAUACUUCGAGUAAUAUUAAAUUAAUGAGAAUUAGUAGACUAUACUUUGUACUGGAUGUUUAUCGUAUAAUCCUCUGAUCCUAUGUCGAACUGUUAUAGACGGUAUAUGGUAUUAGACCCAUGUCGUGGAAUGUUUUCUAAGUUUCUAAUUGAGCUCUAGAUGUAAAUAGCUAGGAUGGCCAAGUUAUUAAGUUAAGUUAUUCAUUCUAAUUGGUAUUACGUAUUACAUAAAUAUCUUUAUUUUUAAAAUGUUUUGUGCUCGAAAACGGCUUUAACAUUUCUGGAUACUGAA